UUUUAAUGUCCUUUUGCCGAGAGCAGAGCCAGAACCAGAGCGAGAGCCUCUUAAGGUCCAGUCCAGCCAAGUGGAGUGCGAGUGCCGGACCGGACCGGACCGGACCGGCUGCUUUGCAUAAUUAUAUUCAUUGAAAACUUAUUUUCUUCAAGUUUUCCACAGCGGGAAAAUAUUAAAAAAAGAAUAUGGCAGAGGGAAAAGAAAUCUGAGUGCGGAAUUGAGUUACAUUGAAAGGAGAAGGCGCGAAGAGAAACAGUUUUUGACAUUUAAUUGCUAGAGAAGUGCACAGGAGCGCAGGAAGGGGAAGGGGAAGGGGACCAUGGAGCGCUACUGCCCAAAUGUCCGUCACUCUCCACUUGGAGAAACUUGUUUCAUUGGGGAGCCUGGACCUGAAGAUGUUGGCAACUGCUGCACGACAGAAAGAAAGAAUGAAAGAAGAGGAGCCCGAGAUGAGCGAAGAGAAGAGAGAUAGAAAAAAAAUGUAACAUGAUUUAAUGACAUGAAUUAUGUAUGAGUUUCCUGUCAAUCAAAAACCACGUCAAAGCAUUUUGAUGGCAAUGUCAACGCGCACCACUGAGCAAAACACACGACCGACGACGAGGAUGAGGCUGCAGCUCCUCUUCGUUGGAGCGUAAAAAAUAAGAAAUGCCAGCCGAAAAAAAUUAAAAAUAUAUAAAAAGUAAAGACACAGCAACAUCACAAGUAAGCAACAGCUAAAUAUAUAGUUGGGUAAAAGUUAUUUACAGCGGAACAGCCUGCUUUAUCCAUUUGCCAGCCAAUCAAUACAUGUGCUCGUACCUAUAAUGUAACCAACAAAUAGCUGCACAAAUGAUAUGCUAAUUUCUAAGCUUUUUAAUCAAGCCAAAAUACAAAAAAUAGAAGAAGCAGCCCAAGAGAAUUUGCAUUUUGUUUGCUUACUUCUCUGGCAUUGUUUUGCCAGCGCCCAAAGUGUGCUCCAUUCUGUUGCGAUCUGUUGCCCCUUCGAAUGAAAUCAAUCAUGUAAUUUAUGUUAGGAUAAUAUGGCCAACCAACAGGAGGAACGAGCAACAGAACAGACAAGACUCCCUGCCAGAUACUCCCCUUCGCCCAAAUGGACUGUCAAGAAAUAAAUAUUUAACAAUAAUUGAUUUAAAAGUCGCAUGCAAAUGUCUCCCACUUACACCCAGCAGGACGAGGACUGUCUUUACUUUCCUUUCUUUUCCUUGCCAGCCCGAUUCCUGGCUCGUUUUUUAAGCCGCUUGGCACGUGGGUAAACCAACGGCUGCUUCCACC
rnacentral:lncRNA from 1 species